rnacentral:rRNA from 1 species
AAUCAACGCUGGCGGCGUGCCUCAGACAUGCAAGUCGAACGCGAAAGUCCCCUUCGGGGGACAAGUAGAGUGGCGCACGGGUGAGUAACACGUAGGUAAUCUACCUUCGGAUGGGGAAUAACAACCGGAAACGGUUGCUAAUACCGCAUAAUGCAGCGGCACCUAAUGGUGACAGUUGUUAAAGCGGGGGAUCGAAAGACCUCGCGUCUGAAGAGGAGCCUGCGGCGGAUUAGCUAGNGGUAAGGUAAUGGCUUACCAAGGCGACGAUCCGUAGCCGGCCUGAGAGGGCGGUCGGCCACACUGACACUGACAUACGGGUCAGACUCCUACGGGGAGGCAGCAGUCGGGAAUUUGGGCAAUGGGCGAAAGCCUGACCCAGCAACGCCGCGUGAAGGAUGAAAUCCCUCGGGAUGUAAACUUCGCAAGAACGGAAGAAUAAGUAGGGGACAAUACCCCCUAUGAUGACGGUACCGUUUGUAAGCUCCGGCUAACUCCGU